GAUGAACGCUAGCUACAGGCUUAACACAUGCAAGUCGCGGGGCAGCAUGGGGGUUGCUUGCAAUCCCCGAUGGCGACCGGCGCACGGGUGAGUAACGCGUAUCCAACCUGCCCUUCACCACGGGAUAACCCGGCGAAAGUCGGACUAAUACCGUAUGUUGUCCAUUGACGGCAUCCGAUUUGGACGAAAGGCUUGGCGGUGAGGGAUGGGGAUGCGUCCGAUUAGCCAGACGGCGGGGUAACGGCCCACCGGGGCUACGAUCGGUAGGGGUUCUGAGAGGAAGGUCCCCGACACUGGAACUGAGACACGGUCCAGACUCCUACGGGAGGCAGCAGUGAGGAAUAUUGGUCAAUGGGCGUAAGCCUGAACCAGCCAAGUAGCGUGCAGGAGGGCGGCGCUAUGGGUGGUAAACUGCCUUUAUGCGGGGAUAAAGUGGCCCACGUGUGGGCUUUUGCAGGUACCGCAUGAAUAAGGACCGGCUAAUUCCGUG
rnacentral:rRNA from 1 species